GGGGUUGUGGCUCAGUGGUAGAGCGCUUGCCUAGCAUGUGUGAGGCCCUGGGUUCGAUUCUCAGCACCA
rnacentral:tRNA from 1 species